rnacentral:rRNA from 1 species
UACGUAGGGUGCAAGCGUUGUCCGGAAUUAUUGGGCGUAAAGAGCUCGUAGGCGGUUUGUCGCGUCGAAUGUGAAAUCCCGGGGCUCAACCCCGGGCCUGCAUUCGAUACGGGCAGACUAGAGUUCGGUAGGGGAGUCUGGAAUUCCUGGUGUAGCGGUGAAAUGCGCAGAUAUCAGGAGGAACACCGGUGGCGAAGGCGGGACUCUGGGCCGAUACUGACGCUGAGGAGCGAAAGCGUGGGGAGCGAACAGG